ensembl:snoRNA SNORD83 Small nucleolar RNA SNORD83
GCCACAUGAUGUUUCUGUCGGAGAAAUGAGCGCGUCGCGCGCCCUGAUGACCGUCAUCUAUCACCCUUGGCUGAUGGCU